UAACACAUGCAAGUCGAGCGGUAGAGAGAAGCUUGCUUCUCUUGAGAGCGGCGGACGGGUGAGUAAUGCCUAGGAAUCUGCCUGGUAGUGGGGGAUAACGCUCGGAAACGGACGCUAAUACCGCAUACGUCCUACGGGAGAAAGCAGGGGACCUUCGGGCCUUGCGCUAUCAGAUGAGCCUAGGUCGGAUUAGCUAGUUGGUGAGGUAAUGGCUCACCAAGGCGACGAUCCGUAACUGCUCUGAGAGGAUGAUCAGUCACACUGGAACUGAGACACGGUCCAGACUCCUACGGGAGGCAGCAGUGGGGAAUAUUGGACAAUGGGCGAAAGCCUGAUCCAGCCAUGCCGCGUGUGUGAAGAAGGUCUUCGGAUUGUAAAGCACUUUAAGUUGGGAGGAAGGGCAGUAAAUUAAUACUUUGCUGUUUUGACGUUACCGACAGAAUAAGCACCGGCUAACUCUGUGCCAGCAGCCGCGGUAAUACAGAGGGUGCAAGCGUUAAUCGGAAUUACUGGGCGUAAAGCGCGCGUAGGUGGUUCGUUAAGUUGGAUGUGAAAUCCCCGGGCUCAACCUGGGAACUGCAUUCAAAACUGUCGAGCUAGAGUAUGGUAGAGGGUGGUGGAAUUUCCUGUGUAGCGGUGAAAUGCGUAGAUAUAGGAAGGAACACCAGGGCGAAGGCGACCACCUGGACUGAUACUGACACUGAGGUGCGAAAGCGUGGGGAGCAAAC
rnacentral:rRNA from 1 species